rnacentral:lncRNA from 1 species
CAAUAAACUCACUGGUGAAAUACCUCCUCAGUUUGGUAACCUCUCUCGCUUGACAAGUUUAGAUUUGGAAGACAACCUAUUGGUUGGGCCAAUACCAGCCUCCCUUGGCCAGCUUUCAAAGCUUCAGCGUCUGUAUGUACUCAAAUCUCUAUUCCUUUGUUUUAUGAAGAUUCUAUAACUUGACAUUCCCGUUUUCUGUUUCUGUUUCUUAUCAAGGAUACUGAGUCAAAACAAUCUCAAUGGAUCUAUUCCUGAAACGCUAACAAGUAUCUCAUAUAUUUACUAACUAUUUUUUCUACAUGAUGGCAGCCGGCUAGCUUACAAUAAACUCACUGGUCAAAUGUGGUGAGCUCCUUCACUCCGACGGCUCUGUAUUCGGUCAUGUGGUGAGCUCGACAAAUCAUUUCCAUCCUGCCUACAGCAGCUCACCUCUCUCACUGUGUUGUGCUUGUGUUUUUAUGAGAACGUCGAGUCGACCCCAACUCAGUUAAUAAUAACUUGCGAGUCGGAUGGUGUUUUUUAUGUCAAAUCUACCAGUUAUUUGUCAGCAAGGUUUCCUAGGUUUUCAACUAUGAAGUGACACUUGACAAAUAUAAUGUAGCUUCAAUUGAGAAUUCUCCCUUCUCCCACGCAGAGGUUACAUAUAUAGCGUUCUGAAACCUUCAGUUCUGUUGUAUGUUCCAAUUGAAAAGUUCAUUAACAAAGUUGAAAUACUGACAAACAGUAUUAACAAAUGAAACCGGGCUGCGCAAGCCAUGGGCUUUGAUGGCUAGUAGAAAUAAAAUCAGGUCUCGCCUUUAAAAAUUACAAUUACACGAUUCAUAUAAGAUCAGCUAGCCACCGGCAAAUGUACAUAUACAGAGUUUCAGACUACAGACCGCAGAGGAUAGGAUCCAUUACAGAAACUAGAACAAGCACGCUAUAUUUAUCUGUCAGGUCUUCGUAGUUAAGGGGAUGUCUGUAGAUCACAUCGUCACGACAGAAAAAUCACAACCCGAGCUAUUUUUUGAUUUCCUUCUCCUCUUCGUUUCGUGGACGCGGCAAGGCGUAAUGCUGAAAUUACGCCGGUUAGCCUAGGACAGUUGAAUACAUGAUUAUAGACUAUGGAUGAAGGAAUGCCCGAUCCACCAACUGACGACAACUCCCAGCAGUCUUCGAGAACCAGGAAUCUGAGCUUGUUUCUGCGGGUGAUCGAGUCCAACGGGGUCGACUCGACGUUCUCAUAAAAACACAAGCACAACACAGUGAGAGAGGUGAGCUGCUGUAGGCAGGAUGGAAAUGAUCUGUCGAGCUCACCACAUGACCGAAUACAGAGCCGUCGGAGUGAAGGAGCUCACCACAUUUGACCUCCUCUCCUGCUCCUGAGCCGGCGGACCACCACGGCCUUCGCCCCUCCCGGCGCCCGCGCCUAACGAGGGAAAAAAGGGCCUCUUGCAAUCAUCUGAUCCGGGCCGCAGCACUUGGAUCGGACGGAUCUCGGGUACCCAAGGGGUGGACAGUAUUCAAAUACCGUCCACCCCUGAGAUGCCCAGAAACGCCUCCCCCGCCUCAUGUCGCGCCUCGUCUGAGCGCCGCCGCUCUCCGGUGGUCCGUCGCGUCCCGUGGCUCGCUUGCACUUCCUUUCUGGGGGCCCUCGCGGCAUGCCCUCUCGCAACAAGCACGGCACGAGCGAUGGCUGUGCCGUCGGACAUGGAGAGUACGGUACGGCACGUCGGCGUGGCCUGACUCCUGAGCGACCAAGCCGUCGCCGCGGGCAGGCACCAUGCAGCGCCUCGGCGCGCCACCGAGGCCACUGAUGGAACGGACCAUAUCACGCAGAAGUUGCAGCAUUUGCCAACGUGCGCGCCGAGCGGCCGCCGGCCGGCCGUCGCCGGCUGCCGGCUUGGCUUGGCUCCGCGUUCACGGUUUUGUGCGAGGUUUUUCUCACGCACGACGACCAGACGCGCUCCUGGACCCGGGCUGUGCGAGUGCGAGGCGCUCACAUCACCAGUCGGGCUGGUCCGGCCGGCGGGGCGGUGCCGCGAGUCUGCGGCGUGCCGGUGCCGCUCCACUGGACCAUGCGUAGGGGAAGGAAGGAUGCAACUGGAGUGAGAGCUACGUUUACAUACCCGGACUUGGGGAGUGCAGGAAGACGCUGUGGCUUCUUCCGUUCCGAUCCGCAAAGCGGACGACGCUGACACAAAAUGCCGGGGAUUAAAGAAUCUGUUAAAGAAACGCACUCACCGAUUGCUGCUGCUACAAAGCCCAAGUGCGCCUCCGCCGGAACUGGAUCGAUUCUCGUCUCGGCGUCAAUCUGGCGCGACGGCGAGCAGGGGAAAGGUGCGCCUCUGCCUCUCUGCUGUCCUCUGCGUUGGCGGAACUGACCAGUGACAGGAGAACCAGAUUUGCUUCUGAAAAAUCAUGGCCUUCGUUUCCUGUUUAUCUCUCGAAUUUCAGUUUGGUAACGUGGAUACCUUGAUCAGUUUGUGUAUGUUCCAUCGUUGCCCGAAUCUGACCGGGGAACUCCCUUCGAUUCUGCAGCAGUGGUAGAAGAAAGACGCAGCUGCUCCUGCUCCGCGUCGUCCUAGCUUUAGCGUCUCUGCUCCCGGUUUCAGCAACUAGUCGUGAAGGUUUACUUAACUACCCAGUUACUGUACUUGAAUAGUUCUUCGCCUUCAUAGUUCACUUUUCACAGGCACGGCGUAGUUUGCAAACCUGUGAUGCAUGUAUAACGGGAGAAGCAUCUUUCGCGUUGCCCAGGUGAUGUGUUUUUAGAUAUGAAGCUGAAGCUGAAUGCUACUGGGAAUCAGCUCUCCGACUGGAACCGGGUUCAGAUCAACCCCUGCACUUGGUACUCUGUUGUGUGUGACAACAACAACAAUGUUGUUCAAGUGUAAGUUUGUCAAUGUCUCCCCUAUUUUGUCUUGUUUACUGCUAUUAAUUGUUCAUACAUCACUUAGCUAGGAUCUGGGAUAAUCACGAGUACCAUUACACCACAUUCCUCGCAAUGAUGUCUAAAGAUGCCUGACAACUUCAAGUAUCAUUUGGGUGGCAUUUGCUUGAUCAUUUCACUAUCAACUCUGAUGCCCUUGCACAUGCUACUAUAUGCCAUCCUAUCAUAGAUUAGUGUGCAAACCUCAUCAUCAGUGAGAUAUAUAUAUGCCUCGGUUCUUUUUUUUAAAAAAAAAUCUUGAUAAGAUAUCACACGGUUGUCGGUUUCCCUCAAUUUGUUCCAUGUCUGUGAUACCUUACCUGAUGUCCUCCUGCAGAACAUUGCCUUCCAUGGGAUUUACUGGAGUCUUGUCACCGAGAAUCGGAGAGCUCAAGUAUUUGAAUGAUCUGUAAGUGCAUUCUUCUAGCAAGGUUAACGAUGUUUGCUUCAGAUGUUGGGUGAUGGAUGUGAUGUGAUAGCUUCUUUGUCUUGCAUUCUAUUCGAACUAAGUUUGUGAAAAGCCCUGACUAUUAGCUGCUCUGAUGCAUACGAGAUGGAGAUAUGGUUGUUUUAAUAUGUUAGUAUGUUAUGUCAGCAUGCUAUUAGUAUGUUUGUGUCUCUGUGCUGUAAAAUAUGUAGUGAUUGACCUUCCCGUUUUCCCUUUUUGUUUCUUUACUGCAAGGACUGAGUGAAAACCAUCUCAGUGGAUCUAUUCCGGAUACCCUGGCAAGCAUCCCAAGCCUGAGAGACAUGUAAGGGAUCAACACUAGUGUCAGUGAUUUUUGCCCACAAGGGUUACAUAUCUGCAAAUAUCCUUCUCACUCAUCGACUAACCGUUUUUCUGCUUGUGAUGGCAGCCGGCUGGCUUACAAUAACCUGUCUGGUCAAAUACCUGAUCGGCUGUUUCAUGUUGCACAUUACUAGUAAGUACUGUGGGAAUGGGGGUCCCUGAAGUUUGAGGUAAAACAUUUUGUCAGUUUUGAGGGCUAAGAUACGGUUCAUUUCCUUCACAGCUUCUCCGGUAACGACAACUUGCGCCUUACCAAGGUAACGGGCCAUAUUUUUUUUUUCAAUUUUCAGUUCUGCUGUAACCUUGUCAAAUAGAAGACCGUAGGCAGUAGGUCUGUACUCUGUGCUACUCGCAUGACCGAACUGAAACAUGGUGCUGGGACGGCAGAACAAAAGCAUGGCCGUGGACCGCGGACCACCCCUGAAGCUGGAAACGAUGGCACCAGUGGGUCGCUGAAGCUUGCAAAAAUGUCCAUGAGCGCAUCACUGUGCCUGUGCGCGCCUUUUUGGUUCCUUUUAGCAAACUUGUAAAUCAGUGCUGAUGUGCUUGCUAUUCGGUUUGUCCAGUUGACAAUGCACGCAACAGUCCAAAACUUCACGUUGAGGCAUAAAUAAAGGGCAUUUUGGCACGAGAAUCAGAUGCUGGGAACAGUGCGUUUGGCACGAGCAGCGAAAGGGAGGAAGGUUGGUGGUGCCGGACGAGCAUCUUGUUCUGCUGGUUUAAAGCUGGAUGGAAAAGUUCCAGGCCUUUUCCUCGAAUGAUUUACGGCACAAAGCCAACGGACUUUCCGGGCCUUCGUAUUUACUAACUCGCAAACCGUACGCCCAGGUUCGAGCUACCUGCGCUCUGACGGUGACGCGCCGCCGCGGCAGACGUGGAGGACGGCGGCGGGGGCGCGCGCGGCAGAGACGAUCCGUGUGCAUCGUCGCCUCGUCGGGCAGGCACAGCUCCCGCAAGAGCCGCUGCGAAUUCGGUAACUGCCGUGGGUCCUGGGCUCCUGGCCUUCCAACUGGACAAAGUAUCAUGGGCCGGUCCUGUCGGUCACCAUUUACUCGUGCCAUCCACCAUGUUCCUGCCGCUGCCGCACCUGUACUGACUGCUCCGUUUACCCACCGUUUCACCUUGGAAAACCUGUCGGGCGGACCGUCGGUCAGCCCACGCCAAAAAUCCAUCUUCCAACGUCUACAAACAGUCAAAGAUGGAUAACAUUUGAUAACAAGAUGGUGGUCGGGGUCCUAACCAACCUAUCAUUCUUCCAUCGACAAAAAAUAAAAAAAACAACCUAUCAUUCAUCCGUGUACCAGCCUACCAGGGCCCCACGGGACAGCACAAAACGGGGCGCAGACAGACCAGACGCGAAAGUGUGCGCCCAGCCCAACUCGAAAGCGACGCGCGGGCAGCAGGGCGUGCGCCCGUGCAGUGCAGCGAAGCCGUUGCCUGGCCGUGAUCGCGCCCGGCGAAUCCGCAGCAGCAGGCGGCGGCAGCAUCCGCCAGAGUCCAAUUCCACCUUAUCCGACGGGGGGCGAGAAAGGGAGGUUCGAAAGAUCCACCCACCCACCAGGCCGCCAGUUACUGGGAGGGGCAGUGGGAAGGGAGGAGACCUGGGGGGUGCUGCAGCUACUGGCGGUCCGAAUCGCGCCUCCGCCAGAAAAGCGAUGGGCUCCGGUCUCGGGACAGCAGCAGCGGUCAAUCCCGGCGCCUCGAGUCAACCGGCGCGGUCGUCCACCUACGCCUUCACGCGCGCGGCGGCGGCGGCGGAGAGGAAGGUGAUGGGGAGGCGGGAGGCAGCGUGAGCCUGCGAACCUCGGGGGCGCGGCGGCGAGCGAGACCUGCCUGAGACUGACGGAGGUGGGUGCGCUCUCCCUCUCUCUCUCUCUCUCUCUCUCUCUCUCUCUCUGAGAGUGUGUUCGAUCGUUCGUUCGUUCGUUUCUGGAAGCUUUGUAAUGAAUCAUUAACAAAAUAGUCGGGCCUCUUACUCGAUUCUAACUCGCUUUCCGUUUUCCUGUCGAACACUCGAAUUUAUACUAGCUCUGUGCACGCUUGCGUCGGCUGGGAUUCAGUUAUGCGCUCGCUAGUCUCUGGUAACGUUCAAUCCGUUCCUGAUUAUCUCCGUGGUUAAUUUCGCGAAAUUAACUUCUCGAACAUCAUUUCAACAGCUUGCUAUGCCCGUGCUUUCUAGGCAUCAAAAUUCGGUUCCAAUAUGUUGGAAGUUGGGAAUUCGUUGGCUACAUGCCCAGAGAUUUUGGGACCAUCUCAGGGUUAGCUACCUGGCUGGUUGGGCUAGAAUGGGGGGGAAUCAGUCAGGGCCCAGGGGGUUGGGGACUUCUCUUGUCCAACACACCUGUAACCGAUGCAUGUGUUUGUGUCCAUCAGUAUUUUGGGGAAUAAUACUCUGCUUGUUUCACUGCGUUACUCCAUUGAAGGACCUGCUUCCGCCAACAAAAUUAGCAUUUCAGCACAAAUUGCUAGUAUAGAGCCUUGAUAUGCUGCUCAGAUAUGGAUACUAAUUUUAAAUCAUUUACUUCAAACAAGUGCUUAAACAUUUGUAUUUGAGAACUUGACAUAUAUGUGCCUUCCUUCUUCGUUUCUUUUGAGCACCAAACUGGAUUGUUUGUUUACCAGGUCAGCCAUGGACCACUGGGGUUGCUACUAACAUGACCAGAUUGUGUAUGUUUUCUCAUCAGGCAAAGUUUUCCAAGGAAAGCUAAAGUAAUAAGAGAAGAAAGAUGGAGCUGCUCAGCAUCAUUCUAAUUGUAGCAUCUCUCCUCCCAUUCUCAGCAUCUGAUCGUCAAGGUUACUCUUACUUACAUGCCCAUUAUAUGUAUCUUUCAUUUUUUUAAUUCACUUUCACCAUCACCGCAUAAUUUUCAAUCUCUGACAAGUAACAAAGAAUUAUCUUUUGUUUAAUUAGGUGAUGCCUUGUAUGAUAUGAAGCUGAAACUAAAUGCUACAGGCAGUCAGCUUUCCGACUGGAACCAAAAUCAAGUUAACCCCUGCACCUGGAAUUCUGUUAUUUGCGACAAUAAUAACAAUGUUGUGCAAGUGUAAGAUUCAGCUUUCGAUGUUUUUCUUAACUCUUAUUUUUUUUAAUUUUUGUACUGCUAAUUAGUUACUAAAUAAAUCACUUAGCUAGGAGCUUGAUUGAUUUGGUUUUACGUUUUCUACAUUCAUCACAUUGAGCUCUGAAGGUUUCUAACAACUCCAAUUAUCAGUUGAGAGGCAUUUGCUUAAGCAUGUAAUUAUCAACUUUGAUGCACUUGCAUGUUCAAUCUGCAAUAUUUUAGUGUGCAAGAGUCAUCAUCGAUCUAUAUGAUAGGACCUCCAGUUUGUUCUGAGUUUACCUUCCUGAUGCCCUCCUGCAGAACAUUGGCUUCUAUGGGAUUUACUGGAUUUCUGUCACCAAGAAUCGGAGAGCUGGAGUAUUUGAAUGUUCUGUAAGUGCAGUCUUCUAGAUUGAUGAUGCUCCUAAAGAUUUUAGUUUGCUUGCUCUGAUGCAAUAGCUACUGUGCUUACGAUUCUAUAUGGACUAAUUAGGUUGUACUAAUAACUGAUUAUUAGCUAUUUUGUUUACUUGCUAGAUGAAGUAAUGGUUCUAUUAUUAUGUCAUAUCACCAUGAACUCCAGGUUUGUUAAAAGCUGCAGUGUAUGAUAUUGCAGGUCCUUGCCUGGUAACAACAUCACUGGUGGCAUACCAGAGCAGUUUGGUAACCUCUCUCGCUUGACAAGUUUAGAUUUGGAAGACAACCUAUUGGUUGGGCCAAUACCAGCCUCCCUUGGCCAGCUUUCAAAGCUUCAGCUUCUGUAUGUACUCAAAUCUCUAUUCCUUUGUUUUAUGAAGAUUGUAUAACUUAACAUUCCCGUUUUCUGUUUCUGUUUCUGUUUCUGUUUCUGUUUCUUAUCAAGG